rnacentral:lncRNA from 1 species
UCAUUCUUCUGCUUCAAUUGCAUCUUCUCCGGCGUCGGCCGAAAUUAUUUUUUUUUGGGGGGCAUCGUCGGAUCCUAAAAGACAGUCAGGAAUACGAGGUUGAGAUGAUUUGUUGAAAAAGUUUGAACAAGGGGAAUAUGAAGAUGCACAAGAUCGACGAUGAUUUUUGAAUUCAGUGAGUUAGUCUUGUACAGUAAAUUGAAAUAUCGGGUUUGUACAGUAAAUAGCAAAAGUUGAAAUAUAUGACAGUUGGUUGGUUCGAAAAUUGAAAAGGUAUAAUUAAUUAAUUGAUGAGUAACUCCAUCGAUUGAUCUCCAUAUAUAUGAAUAUGAUCUUAAACUAAAGCGAUAGCUGUUGUAGAUUGGUUUCCUAACCACAUUACACCAAUUCCUUCACAUCGAUCUCAAACUUUAUAAAUAGAUCGAUCGACUGUCAUGGUCUCAUGGACAAUAUAUCGAUCGUACGUGCAUUCAGUCAGGAACCAUUUGUUUUCAUUGCUUCCGUCGAAUCCAUUAUAUAUAUUCACAUCACCAAAUUAAGAAGCUAGAGAAUCGAUCGAUUGAUCGAUCGAGCUUCGUCAUAAUCUUUUCAUUCCUUGAUUCUCUAAUUUAUCGACCAGUUUUUCUCUAAUUCCAUGCUAUAUAUUAUAUAUAUAUAUGUAAACUCUUUAAUCUUUAAUAUUAAUUAAUUAUUUAGCUUAUUUGGUAAGAAAAACUUAAUUCACCAGGGUUCAGAGACGGCCGGGCGUAUCAUGCGGCCCGUCUCCCUUGGAUCAAAAUCCGACGACCCUCGUGUUGCUGUUCCAAAUGAAUGGACUAAAAACCAAAAUUCGGGCACAGAUCACAGAGGCUACACUCUACAUUACAACAGUAAAGGCAUGGUGGCAAAAUAGCAUUGCACGUCGUUGUGCUGCCGACGUCAAUUGUACGAACUGACGAUCGUCGAUGGGUCAUGUAUGACACCCGUUUUUGCGCUCUAACGGACGGCCAGAUCAGAGGUGGUCCGCAUAAGGGACCGUUCGAACAAGGGGCUGUCCCAAAAACACCUCCUAUAUAUAUAUAUACUUAAUUGUUCCAAUUUGUAAACAUGAUAAAUUUGAUUGAUGUCCAAUUUCUAUAUAUAUAUAUAUAUGUGUUUCAAUUUCAUAUUACUCUGAACAAACAGUUGAGUAAUAAUAAGAUAAGUAUUUACAAAGUCAUCAUCUCAAUUUCUACUAGAG